AUUGAACGCUGGCGGCAGGCCUAACACAUGCAAGUCGAACGAGUGGCAGACGGGUGAGUAAUGUCUGGGAAACUGCCUGAUGGAGGGGGAUAACUACUGGAAACGGUAGCUAAUCCCGCUUACCAUCAGAUGUGCCCAGCUGGGAUUAGCUUGUUGGUGGGGUAACGGCUCACCACGGCGACGAUCCCUAGUUGGGCGGAGAGGAUGACAGGCCACACUGGAACUUAGGCACGGUCCUAAGUCCCACGCGAGGACGGAGUGGGGCAUUGGGGACAAUUGGCGAAAGGCUGAAGGAGCCAUGCAGCGUCGAUGCAGAAGGGCUGAGGGUUGUAAGGUACUAUCAGCUGGGAGGCGGUACCCGGAGAAGAAGCGCCGGCUAACUCCGUGCCAGCAGCCGCGGUAAUUC
rnacentral:rRNA from 1 species